GCUGUGGGGUCAGAUUUAACUUUUCUUCACCAUGGACUCUCUACAACUUCCUCACCAAACCCAAUAGAAGAAAGGGCAUGGAUAUUCCUCCGAAUUGGAAUUACUCAUACACGAACUUCAACAAUUUACCAUGAGCUUAGAGGCAUUGGCAGAAGUCGCACAAAUUUUUCAUGAAAAUAACAAGCUUGAAGAUGGCGGCUUUGGACCACUAUACAGGGUGGGAUUAUCUUUGAAGUAAAUUAAAACUGGAGUCAUUUGACCUUGUCGGAUAAGAGUAAUGGAGGCUAUUGAAUAUUGCAUAAUACAGAUUCAUUCUCAAGGGAGAUUGAAUCCGCAAUUUGUAAUCAAGAUUUGGCUUUUAGAAUGGUCAGUUGAUAAUGGCUAGAACAAGAAGUUUGUAUUUUGAAGUAAUAUAGUAAAACUUCCAUCAAUUGUGUUGCAUCAUAGCAAGCAUGACCUCUUCUUAAUCGGCAAGGGAUCCUUCUGCUUUUUUUUUUGUAUUCUAAGAGUUGGUAUAUAUCUCAGUGACUAGAUGUUGAUUUCUUAUUAAUCUUCAUUUUUACUUGCAUUGGCAAAUUUUGCUA